UUGCUUUCAUUUUAUUUUAUUUUUUUUCUUUUCUUUACUUGUUUUAAUAAAUGGUGGACAAUUUUUAUUUUGUUUAUAAAUACCUAACGGCUAUUAGUAUUAUUUUGGAUCUUCAGUUUCUAUUCUGUAAUAUUGAUAUAAAUCAUGGAGUACAAUACACCAUACACUAUCAUAUUAUAGCAACAUCUAAUGUAAUAUUCAUUUGAAAUAUCAGUUACGCACUUCAAUCUUCUACUCAUUCUCUCUCAAAUCUCUCCCUCUCUGUUUUUCCAUUCAUUUUAACUCGAAUCGCCUUUUUGAUGGUUCAAAAUGAUUCGUCUCUCUCUCUCUCUAUAUAACAAUACACAAUCCAUCUCUUUCGGGAUCUGCUACUAUUUUUUGCCUUGAUCCUGACUCAAUCCAUUGCCUUUUGAGGAUUGCUGGAUUGGGAGUGGGAGUCUUCCUUCUUCUAGCUCUUAGAAUCAGUGUGCCAAAGGUUGAUUCUUGGGAUGUAGUAUUGGUUGUAAAACAAAAGCCAAUUAUUAUUAUUUUUUUAUAUUUUAUAUUUUGUUAUUAUUAUUAAUUUCUUUUUAACAAUCUGAUGCAUCUACCUUCUUUUCUUUUCUUUUCUUCUGUACUCUUUUUGUUUCCCAUUCAAAUUUUCUAGAACAAUGUAUGUUUUCUUUGAAGGAUGCAACUUUUUAUUUUACUUGGUCUUGUGAUCUAUAAGUUUUUGAACCAUGUAAAAUACCAAUGAUAUAUUCUUUGA